rnacentral:lncRNA from 1 species
GGGCCCAAUUUCUAAGGGGCACUAUCAGACUGCUUCAUCCCAAGGCUGGGUUUAAAGCCACACCACCUAGAAAACCCUAACACAUGUCGGCUUCAAUGACCAUUCUCCCAUGCCAGCUUGGAUCAGGGACUCAAGAUUAUUGAAUACAGGAAAGGAAGGCAAGAGAGAGGGAAGACCUGUGGCAGAACAGAAUUCAGGAAUGGGAAGGGACUUUGGAGCUUCUCAGGAGCGAUCUUCAGACCAGCAGCAUCUGCAUCGACAUCACCAUCCCCUGGAUGCUUCAGUCACACACGUGAAGAAGGCUUUCCUGGCCAGCCUUAUGGUCCUUGCUACCUUCAUGACUGCAUGCAAUGCACAGUGCUAUGCAAUCACUUUGGACAGUGAUCAAGAAUGCAAGGAUAUUAAUGGAGUCAUACACCCACUGAACUCGAAAUGGACAAAUUCGAACUGUGAGGAGUGUUAUUGCCGUGAACGUGAAAUUAGCUGCUGUAAUUUGUAAGUCUCA